rnacentral:rRNA from 1 species
GAUGAACGCUGGCGGCGUGCCUAAUACAUGCAAGUCGAGCGAACAGACGAGGAGCUUUCUCCUCUGACGUUAGCGGCGGACGGGUGAGUAACACGUGGAUAACCUACCUAUAAGACUGGGAUAACUUCGGGAAACCGGAGCUAAUACCGGAUAAUCUAUUGAACCGCAUGGUUCAAUAGUGAAAGACGGUUUUGCUGUCACUUAUAGAUGGAUCCGCGCCGCAUUAGCUAGUUGGUAAGGUAACGGCUUACCAAGGCAACGAUGCGUAGCCGACCUGAGAGGGUGAUCGGCCACACUGGAACUGAGACACGGUCCAGACUCCUACGGGAGGCAGCAGUAGGGAAUCUGCCGCAAUGGGCGAAAGCUUGACGGAGCAACGCCGCGUGAGUGAUGAAGGUCUUCGGAUCGUAAAACUCUGUUAUUAGGGAAGAACAAAUGUGUAAGUAACUAUGCACGUCUUGACGGUACCUAAUCAGAAAGCCACGGCUAACUACGUG